UGAGGGAAAGGCGAAAAGAACCCCGGCGAGGGGAGUGAAAAAGAACCUGAAACCGUGUACGUACAAGCAGUGGGAGCACGCUUAGGCGUGUGACUGCGUACCUUUUGUAUAAUGGGUCAGCGACUUAUAUUCUGUAGCAAGGUUAACCGAAUAGGGGAGCCGAAGGGAAACCGAGUCUUAACUGGGCGUUAAGUUGCAGGGUAUAGACCCGAAACCCGGUGAUCUAGCCAUGGGCAGGUUGAAGGUUGGGUAACACUAACUGGAGGACCGAACCGACUAAUGUUGAAAAAUUAGCGGAUGACUUGUGGCUGGGGGUGAAAGGCCAAUCAAACCGGGAGAUAGCUGGUUCUCCCCGAAAGCUAUUUAGGUAGCGCCUCGUGAAUUCAUCUCCGGGGGUAGAGCACUGUUUCGGCAAGGGGGUCAUCCCGACUUACCAACCCGAUGCAAACUGCGAAUACCGGAGAAUGUUAUCACGGGAGACACACGGCGGGUGCUAACGUCCGUCGUGAAGAGGGAAACAACCCAGACCGCCAGCUAAGGUCCCAAAGUCAUGGUUAAGUGGGAAACGAUGUGGGAAGGCCCAGACAGCCAGGAUGUUGGCUUAGAAGCAGCCAUCAUUUAAAGAAAGCGUAAUAGCUCACUGGUCGAGUCGGCCUGCGCGGAAGAUGUAACGGGGCUAAACCAUGCACCGAAGCUGCGGCAGCGACGCUUAUGCGUUGUUGGGUA
rnacentral:rRNA from 1 species